GCGAGCCGGGGAACGUCCGUAGAGCCGCCGGGACUUCGAAGGUGUCCCAAAGGGAAAAAAGAGGUGGGGGUGACAGAAGGGUGAGGGACAGGAGCUGAGCUGGUGCCAUAUUGUGAGAGGGUCGAGUUGGGUAUCUGAGUUGGGUGGUCCUGUGUUGGGCCAGGAGCUGGACUCGAUGAUUCUUACGGGUUCCUUCCAACUCAGAAUAUUCUAUGAAUCUACAACAGAGAAAGACACCCUUGCUUGCCCCUGGCUCUUGGGUCAGGUGCUGGAGAGCUGCUGGGUGCUUUUCCCGCAGUGGCUGUGAAGUUUUGUGUGUCAAUGGAGCUCCUCGUACACAGUGCGGGAUUUUGCACAGAGUGUAAGGCCGGUUUUGGUAAGGAAAAGAAUUUGCCUGCUUACAGUCAUGGGACUUGAAAUACUGGUGGGAUUUCUUAAGUCCUUGCUAAGAUGGGCAGUAUGACACCACUGCAGCCAAAGCAGGUAAGCAGAAGUGUGCUGGCACCAACCACUCUUCCUUCCUUCCCAGGAACCACCCCACAUUAUUUUUUAAAACCUUUAGUGGUAAAAUUUUAUUCAGAAAGGAAACGUGGGGAGGAAGGGGUCAGCCAACAGGAAGGUAUCAGGGUUUUCAUUUUCCUGUUACGGGCUGGCAUGGCACAGUGUGUGUAGUGGGGGCUGUCAGCAGCGCUCACCUCCUGACACCACUGCUCACUGUUGUGCUCUGAAUGCAGAGCUUUGGUUCUGACAGCUGCUGUGGUGAUCAGGUGUCCCUCAGCAAGAAAUCAUAAGCAUCACAACCUCUAAAAUGCUCCCACACUCUCCUCUAGGUUUAAUCACCGUAUGAAAAGGAGGUGAUUACAUAAAGCAGCACAGCCUUGGUAAGAGAUGUAUUUUCCAACUACGUAAAGUGCAAUUAAGGAUGACUUCAAAAUCAGUUUGAAUGCAGAUGAGUUGAUGGUGGGUUCUGAAUGUUUUUGCCCACUGAGCAAACUCUUAAUUUACGUUAGAAGGGAAUCUGGUUCGUGAGAAAAAUCCUGGUGUUAUGUUUCAUCGCAGAUGUUUUCAUUAAAUCUGUGUUUUUUUAUGCAUUUGUGUAAGAUAUACUCCAUUCUUUUCCUGCUUUCAUUUAGCAGUGUCAUUUUUAAUCUUCCAAUAUUUAAAUAUAACUUUUGAUACAAGAAAAAAUCUACUGCAAAGUAAAAGCCCAAUCAUUACUAGCAGAAAAGAGUGAGCUGUGGAGAACAGUCUCUCUUCCACCAAUUCAGUGGCAGAAUUCCUGCUGGCUUCAGUGGAAACAAGACUGGGUUUUAAAAUAAAAUAAAUGAAUGAAUGACAAAGAUAAAAACAAUGUGUGAUCCAAGCAAGGAAAAGAGACUGUCCUAAUUUUAAGUGGUCAGUUGGGAUAUUUUAUAUAAAUGUCAUGCUGAAAUCAGACAAACUUGUGAUGAAUAAAAUUUUGCAUUAUAACUCAAUUAUUAAUUUGAGCAAACAGUUGAAUUUUCAAUAUUUUGCAUUACUGAUGUAGCUUUCUCUGUUGUGGGUUUGAAAUAUAUCUUGAGGAAAGUCUGUUACCUUCAGUCCCAUGAUAGUAGGAUGACUUAACCUUACAAAAUACAGAAGAGCACUAAAAUUGUAGUGCCUUCUUCAUGGCUGUGUGUCUCUGCAAUGGUGGCACACAGUCCUCAGAACUUCAUUUUUUUCCUGCAUAUUGUAUAUUCUGCAAAGACACUUUUUUGUGCAUGAGCCUGAUCCUUCAUGUGUUCUAGGUGUAAAACUUAGUUCUGCGUGCAGGGUUCUUACCAAGCAAAGCUGUUUAAUCCUUAGGUGAGAUAUGUGAUAUAAAUUUUAGAGAUCUAAAUUUUCAUUAACCAUCUCAUUUUCCCAUGUACUGCUUAAAUCUGUCAUGUGUGGCUGCAGAGCUAACCAGGGCAGGAAGAGAUUUUGUGAAAAAGUCAACUAAAGAAUGACAGCCACGGUUCUGCACUGUAACCAUGGCAGUUCUACCAUGGGAGAACUAUUCUUUAGUUCAUGGAAUUGCAUAAUAACAAUACCACUGUAAUUAAUACUGGGCACUUUCCUGCCAACAGAGGGACAGGUGCCAGAUAGCAAAAAAGGUUAUAAUCUCAACAAAAUUUAGGGUAUGCUCCAAUAAACUGUUUCUUACAUGAAUAAUUCCCUCACAUCUACUUUGUUUUCUGGAACUUUGAUCGCUUUUCCAUUUUGAAACACAUAUGAAUUUUAUUUGUCUCUCUGUUAGACUUUCAAUCAGAAGGUUUUUGGAAGAUGAUUUGAUCUUUUUUUUCUUUCUUGCUGUCCUUUUUGUAGUCAUAGCUGGUUUUACAGGAGGUGUUUUGCCAGGUCUGUGUCACAAGUCUCGCCUUUUGUGCUGGAAGAAGUUCAUAGUCUGUCAUUUCUGCAAAUAAGAGUCUCAUAGUUGGUCUGUUUAAAUUAUCUUUAGGGGGAAAUUGGGCGUUCUUCAGAACCGACUGCUGGCAGGGUUGAUUCCCUUAUGAUAAGUGUGGUUAUAUGCCAGAUUUUUAGGUGAUGUGCUUGGUCUUUAUUUUUCUCUUUGAGACAGCUUAGUGUCUGUUUUGAUUAAGUUUGCAUAAGAGGUAAUUUAUCAUGUCGUGUUUCGUUUUAAAGGGUCAGGAGCACAUCUGUUACGACAUUUGUCGUAACACAGAAGAUGGGUGAAGACAACUGAGUGCCUUACAUCAUGUUUUAGUGGUCUGAGGAGCUCAUUAAAUCUUGAGUCAUUUCUAUGGAUUGCAAUUUAAACCAGCUUGCAAGCCAUAGUGAAUGAAAAUCACUUCCCACCCAACCCCCUUUAUAUACAUACUUCUAAUAAUUGAAGAAUGUAGGAGCCAAAAAGCCCUGUUGGUUCUCACAUCCUUUCCUCAGCAAGAGAGAACUGCCUUUUAUUCUGGAUUGCUUUUUAUCAGUCAAUGGAAAUACUGAAAAAGAUCCUCAUUAUUUAUCUGGAAUUUACUUGUAGAGAGGAAUAAGGUUAAUCUUACCGUGAUAAGUUUCCCGCUGUAAAUAUUUCAGUGACGUAAAAUUCCAUUUUGUGAUGAGAGAUGUUGUAAACUUUUCAUUUCUAACCAAAAGCAAUGGCUAUGAUGGUGUCCUUUACAUGGGCAGCAGUAGGAAGCUAAAUACAAGUAAAAUUGUAUUAUGAGGCUUAAACUUAACCACUCUGAUAUUUUUUUUUUUUUUUUUUUUUCCAGAACAGAAAGAAAUAAAGUGACUGUCACUGUGGCAUCAGGCUGGAUGUCAGUAUCCCAUACAGGCCUGGGAUUUUGAAAGCCCCAGUUAAUCUUGCUUUGGGAGCUGCAGCCCAACUCCCUUCUGAAACUGUCUGGAGGCCGACUAAGCUUGUCAAUAUGUGAUCUGUACAACGGUGGUACAUUGAUCCGGAACAAACACAAGCAUAUAAUUGCAUUCUGGACAAGAUCAGCCAGUGCUGAGUGACAGUGUUUACACCAGGCUUUAUCCUGGCUUUACAGUGGCAGCAGAAAGAUAAAUGAUACCAACUCGGAUGUAAAAUCAUCAGCGUAAAACCACUCUUUACUCUUCGCUUUGUUUUGUUUCUAAAAAAGUGGUUGGGUUGAAUUUCUAAGAAUUCUGUGCCUCGUGGCUAUCCAAAAAUGGCAUUUACUGUAUCAUGAAAUUGCAGUUGCAUGUUGGUGAGGGUAUGCCUUCAGCUCCUCUGGUAUGUUAUUUUUAAGUACAUAGCUGCUGUUGAGUCUAGAUGCAGAGGGGUAGUGAUUCCUUGCUAAAAGGCUAUGUGUAAUAUUUUAAAUUUUUACUGUCUCUAAAUAGAAGAAAAUGUUAAGCAAGGGAAAGUCAAGCACUAAAGCAAAGAAUUUGUCCAAUAAAAUGGAAGAGACAGGUCAAAAUAAUUCCUGACGUAAGUCAAUUUAUCUCAUGCAAUUACAUGAAGGAUGAAUUUGCUACUUUACACCUCUGGGGCCAGAAAAGGAUUUCUGUGAUCUCAGCCUGCACAGUUUAAAAUAAUUGUGGGUAAGAAACAAAAUUGCAAUUUAACCUGACAGAACUGCACCCACUGUUUUUAGUGUAUUGCCAUAUCCAUAAAAGAACAGCAGGUCUAAAGAACAACAAAAAGGGCUUCCUAAAAAGAUGAACACAUGAUGAUUUGCAGCUAACAUCCUCCAUAACAGUAUUUUUGAGGGAAAAAGGAUUUCACGACAGCCUGUUAGAAAUGGUCAGUGACAUCAGGAUAGCUUCCCUUUCUUGUAAUGCCAAAAGCUUUUCUCUGUUUGCUGCAUUGCAUUUUUAGUUUUUUUCCUCCAUUCUCAUCCUUCUGCCCUGACCAGCUCCAAUUCAGUCAUCCUUUCCCUCAAGUUCCUUUCAGUCCCGCUGUGUCUGCAGGGAUCUCUGGUCUCAGCGUGGCUCUCCUUCCUGCUGUUUCCAAGCAGAAACAUUCAACCACUUUGGAUCGUGAAAGCAGAGACAUCUGGCCUUUGCCCUAAUUUAUUUUCAGAUUUAAAAUUUUAAUAUGCUUAAAUUUGAGAUGCUUUAAAGCCGAGCACUUUCGCUGUGAGAACUCAGCCUCCUCGUGUCAAUCUGUAGUGCUAUGCUCAGAGAUUAUUUUAGUUUUAAAGCCUUAUUAUGAAACAUCAACCUCUGCCUCCCCAUCCCACUCCCAAAGCCAGGAAAUACUUCUAAUACCAAUAUGUUUCGUUCUUUUAAUAGUGUAAAGUAAAAAUAACCCUCUAGUGCAUUAGUGCAAUGAAACUGAAGCCAGCAAUCUGUCGUUUUUAUCCUUACUAACAUGCAACUGUCAGUUUUAAUAUGUUGGAAAGGAUCUGUACGUACAUGUACAUAAAAGAUGUGAAAAUAGAAAGGCAUUUAUUGAAAGCAGACAAAAUCAGGAAGAUUAUAAAAUAGUAAGAGGAAGUGACCUCAGAUAUAAAAACUGCUUUGUGCAGCAGAAUUUACCGCUAGGAGCUGAGGCUGGCAAGUUGCCAUACUUUAGAUUAAAUAAGCUGUGUAAUGUAAAAAAGUGUCAAUGUAGUGUUCAGAUCCACUAAAUGCAUUUGCAAAACUAACGUUGCAGAAAGCAAUUAAACUUUUUUAAGUUUCUUUAAUUUGCUUGUUUGCUUUGUUGUUUUUUUCUUUGUGUGUCUUUAAAAGCCUGAUUAUGUAUUCAAAUACCAGAAAUGUCAGCUGUACAGAGCUGGAUCUCUAAGAAUAUCUGCAUCAGGUGUAGCAAUCGACAGGAUACAGCAAAUUGCAGACACCAAAUUAAGCAUAUUCUCUUGUUUAAAUACCUACUGCACAGUUCACAGAGCUACUCAGGUAGACUGCGUGCUGCUGAAUGUUUUCAAACUGGAUAAGGACUAUGUUUUUCAUGCAGGAUAUCUUCUCCAUUUCCUGAUAGGUUUGUGGAGUAAAGAUCCAGAGCUAUAGGAAAUAAAGGACACAUACUUGAAAGACUUCUCACAUAAAUGUUUUUAAAACUUGCUGAAAACACUGCAAAAAUCCCAGAAUUAGCUAUUGUACCAGCUGAGAAUAAAUGCUCUUUCUUCUACACCGGUAUGUUUUCCUCUGUGGCUUGGCAAGGCCUGCUUUCUGAUCUUCCUGCUAGAAGAGAAGCCAUUUCAGUAGAUGAUGGAUAAUGAGCCCAGCUAAGUUCUCAUGACUAACAAAACCAUGCCCUCUGUUCCCAUCUGUAAGGUUUUUCCAGAGCUCAGCAAGUAGGGAGGACACCAAACCUGAAAAACUAGCCAGCAGAUAACUACAUUUAAACAGAUAGUUUUCUCAACAUCUUCAUCAGAUUUACAAGACAGAUAGACUGUUACCUGAGUACGAUGUGUAUCCUCAAAUCCAGUCUCUCAGCAAAAGCCAUCUGUAAUUUGUUGAGAAGAGGUAUUGUCUCCUUCAUACAUUAAAUCAUUCAUUCCAUGAAGUGUUUUGGGGCAUUUCUUGUAUCUAAAUCUUCACU